rnacentral:lncRNA from 1 species
UCUACCAAAAAAGAAAAGAGAUAAGUAUCAGAUGCCAGCAAGCCACUGAUGACACCAGUAGACAUCAGGAAAACCAAAUCUCUAAGCCACAGGUAAGCUUUUUUUUUUUUUUUUUUUUUUUAUACACCAGAAGAAUCAGAAAACAUGAAGAUGAGGUCAGGCAGAUAAAAUUAUUAAUCCUAAAAGAAUAGUGGACUGUUUUGUAAAUGGAACUGGAAGAAAAUGAUAUUGAAAGAGAGGUUACAGAAGUGUAAGACAGACAAUUCAAAAACUGGGUCAAAUAAAAUUCAUAAAGAUGCUUAAACUAUAGCAGAAUAAAACAGAAGCCAGGGGCAGAGUAAUGAUGAUCCUCUACUAUGGAGAUUUCUGAGACAUUCUGUAGAGACUGAGAGGGACAGGAGGCACAGAAAUUGUACACAGAAAAAGGGCAGGGUCCCUGGCCAAGACCCACUCUCAAGCCCAAAGUGAGAACUUUACAUUCCUGUUUUCCUGCUCAAAUAUUGCCUUUUCCAAAACCACCCCUGGCCUACCCCACCCCGUAUCCUGUACCCAUAAAAAUCCCAGGCUCCACUGGCACAGAGCAGAGAAGAGGAGAAGCAGCUGCACGUCGGAGACUGCAGUCUGAGUCGGAGAGCAGCAGCUUGACUUUAGCGGGACUGCUUGAUGGCAGUACUUCAGGGGAAGAAUACGUUCCCACUCCAUCCCCAUUUUCCAGCUCUCUCCCUCCUGCUGAGAGCCACUUUCAAUGGCAAUAAAAUCCCCCGCGUUUACUAUCCUUCAAUUUGUUCAUAUGACCUGAUUUUUCAUGGAUGCUGGACAAGAGCUCAGGAUACAGAAAAGUGUCACAUUGACCCUCUGCCUUCAUGAAAAAGUAGAAGGUCUAUUGAGCUGUUAAAUACUUAAGCCGUCCUUGGACUGCAAAGCUAAAAGAGCAUUGUAACGCAUGCCCUCUGGGGCUCCAGGGGUCAUGGGUACUACCCUAGGCACUGCUGUGGGACUGCAUGGAGUUUUGAUCCUGCCGGUGGCCAAAAGUGCUUGCUCUAGCUCCUGCACCUGCUCACCUGCAUGCUCUCCCUCCCCCGAGGGGUUCAGAGCUUCAGGCUGAGAAAGUGAGGCACCCCUGUUGCAAGGCCUGUGAAGGGGUCAAGGAAAAUUUCCUGUUCAAAACCAUGCAUAGGAAUUCUAAUUACGUAAGUGAAGAAAAAGUAAAAUUCUGUAACUUUUCUUCUCUAAAGUAGCUUUUCUAAUUUAUUCCAAAACAAAUAUCUUUAUAGUUCAGAAAUAUUAUCUUGGACAAAUAUAGGGGUGAAGUGUAUCUGGCAGGUCUUGGUGGCAUGCAGAAAUAAGGUGUAUUUUCACAGAGGUAAUUCAUUGUUUUUCUAAACUUUCUGCAGUUAUAAGCAAAGAAAAUUUGAAGCCUCUAUUAAAAAAUCAUUCCUUCAACACAUCACUGACCAGGAACGUAAAUGGAUGAGCAGUAAGGACGCAAUGGAUUAAGCUCCUUUACAAGGGAAAGAUUUCUGAACUCCUCAAGCUCUUAUUGUGGGCCUUUAUUCUGCAAAGAAGGCUGCAGUGCCAGCGGAGCUGACUGCCAGUGCCAAGUGUGUGACUGACAUAACGUAUGGAGGUAAUUGCAGCAAAGCACAUCAUCUGAUCUUGAGAACCCAGCAGCCAUUCAGAGGAGCUCCAACCUACAUCCUCGUGCCAUUCCCCACCUCCCGCCACUGUCAGUGGCUUUGAGCAGCUCCAAUCCAUCUACACCCUCUGGCAAUGGCAGCCUCUUAACAGAAGAGCUCAGUCUGUGCCCUUUGACAAGUUUCUUCACCACCACAAGGCUGCACGUUCCUCUGGUAGCCACACACCUUCUUCGAUCAGGGAUUUGCCCUGUACCCCAGGCUAGAGUGCAG